rnacentral:rRNA from 1 species
CAGUAGCCGCGGGAAUACGAAGGGUGCAAGCGUUACUCGGAAUUACUGGGCGUAAAGCGUGCGUAGGUGGUGGUUUAAGUCCGUUGUGAAAGCCCUGGGCUCAACCUGGGAAUUGCAGUGGAUACUGGGUCACUAGAGUGUGGUAGAGGAUAGUGGAAUUUCCGGGGUAGCAGUGAAAUGCGUAGAGAUCGGAAGGAACAUCUGUGGCGAAGGCGACUAUCUGGGCCAACACUGACACUGAGGCACGAAAGCGUGGGGAGCAAACAGGAUUAGAUACCCCUGUAGUCCCUGUCUCUUAUAC